ensembl:ncRNA C30D11.2 ncRNA
AAACACCUCGUCGUCCUCCUCGUCCUCUGGCACCGGAGCCAGACGGAGCAACGGGGGACGACGUGGCAUUGCUCCAGUCGAUGAUGACUUUGGGAUCGCAGAUGAUGAUGGUCCGGUGACAGUGACAAGAAAUGGUUCUUCUU